AUUGAACGCUGGCGGCAGGCUUAACACAUGCAAGUCGAGCGGAGAUGAGGUGCUUGCACCUUAUCUUAGCGGCGGACGGGUGAGUAAUGCUUAGGAAUCUGCCAUUUAGUGGGGGACAACAUUCCGAAAGGAAUGCUAAUACCGCAUACGUCCUACGGGAGAAAGCAGGGGAUCUUCGGACCUUGCGCUAAAUGAUGAGCCCAAGUCGGAUUAGCUAGUUGGUGGGGUAAAGGCCUACCAAGGCGACGACCUGUAGCGGGUCUGAGAGGAUGAUCCGCCACACUGGGACUGAGACACGGCCCAGACUCCUACGGGAGGCAGCAGUGGGGAAUAUUGGACAAUGGGCGGAAGCCUGAUCCAGCCAUGCCGCGUGUGUGAGGAAGGCCUUUUGGUUGUAAAGCACUUUAAGCGAGGAGGAGGCUACUAGUACUAAUACUACUGGAUAGUGGACGUUACUCGCAGAAUAAGCACCGGCUAACUCUGUGCCAGCCGCCGCAGUAACAC
rnacentral:rRNA from 1 species